rnacentral:rRNA from 1 species
AGUGAACGCUGGCGGUAUGCCUAACACAUGCAAGUCGAACGGCAGCACAGUAAGAGCUUGCUCUUACGGGUGGCGAGUGGCGGACGGGUGAGGAAUACAUCGGAAUCUACUUUUUCGUGGGGGAUAACGUAGGGAAACUUACGCUAAUACCGCAUACGAGCUACGGGUGAAAGCAGUUGAUCUUCGGACCUUGCGCGAUUGAAUGAGCCGAUGUCGGAUUAGCUGGUUGGCGGGGUAAAGGCCCACCAAGGCGACGAUCCGUAGCUGGUCUGAGAGGAUGAUCAGCCACACUGGAACUGAGACACGGUCCAGACUCCUACGGGAGGCAGCAGUGGGGAAUAUUGGACAAUGGGCGCAAGCCUGAUCCAGCAAUACCGCGUGUGUGAAGAAGGCCUUCGGGUUGUAAAGCCCUUUUGUUGGGAAAGAAAAGCAGCAGGUUAAUACCCCGCUGUUCUGACGGUACCCAAAGAAUAAGCACCGGCUAACUUCGUG